GUGCUUGCAUUGUCAACACAUAUUCUAAAAUUGGAACAAUGCAGAGAAGAUCAGCAUGCCCAUGUUUAAGAAUGACAUGCAAAUUUGUGAAUGCUCCAUAUAUUUUU
rfam:Callithrix jacchus chromosome 6, whole genome shotgun sequence